CCUACGGGAGGCAGCAGUGGGGAAUAUUGGACAAUGGGGGGAACCCUGAUCCAGCGACGCCGCGUGAGUGAAGAAGUAUUUCGGUAUGUAAAGCUCUAUCAGCAGGGAAGAAAAUGACGGUACCUGAUUAAGAAGCCCCGGCUAACUACGUGCCAGCAGCCGCGGUAAUACGUAGGGGGCAAGCGUUAUCCGGAUUUACUGGGUGUAAAGGGAGCGUAGACGGCGCAACAAGUCUGAUGUGAAAGGUCGGGGCCCAACCCCGGGACUGCAUUGGAAACUGUGGAACUGGAGUGCAGGAGAGGUAAGCGGAAUUCCUAGUGUAGCGGUGAAAUGCGUAGAUAUUAGGAGGAACACCAGUGGCGAAGGCGGCUUACUGGACUGUAACUGACGUUGAGGCUCGAAAGCGUGGGGAGCAAACAGGAUUAGAUACCCGUGUAGUC
rnacentral:rRNA from 1 species